GACGAACGCUGGCGGCGUGCUUAACACAUGCAAGUCGAACGGAAAGGCCCUGCUUUUGUGGGGUGCUCGAGUGGCGAACGGGUGAGUAACACGUGAGUAACCUGCCCUUGACUUUGGGAUAACUUCAGGAAACUGGGGCUAAUACCGGAUAGGAGCUCCUGCUGCAUGGUGGGGGUUGGAAAGUUUCGGCGGGUGGGGAUGGACUCGCGGCUUAUCAGCUUGUUGGUGGGGUAGUGGCUUACCAAGGCUUUGACGGGUAGCCGGCCUGAGAGGGUGACCGGCCACAUUGGGACUGAGAUACGGCCCAGACUCCUACGGGAGGCAGCAGUGGGGAAUAUUGCACAAUGGGCGGAAGCCUGAUGCAGCAACGCCGCGUGCGGGAUGACGGCCUUCGGGUUGUAAACCGCUUUCACCUGUGACGAAGCGUGAGUGACGGUAAUGGGUAAAGAAGCACCGGCUAACUACGUG
rnacentral:rRNA from 1 species